UACGAAGGGUGCGAGCGUUGUCCGGAAUUAUUGGGCGUAAAGAGCUCGUAGGCGGUCUGUCGCGUCGAUCGUGAAAACUUGGGGCUUAACCCUGAGCUUGCGGUCGAUACGGGCAUGACUGGAGUUCGGCAGGGGAGACUGGAAUUCCUGGUGUAGCGGUGAAAUGCGCAGAUAUCAGGAGGAACACCGGUGGCGAAGGCGGGUCUCUGGGCCGAUACUGACGCUGAGGAGCGAAAGCGUGGGGAGCGAACAGG
rnacentral:rRNA from 1 species